GAUGAAUGCUGGCGGCGUGCCUAAUACAUGCAAGUCGAGCGGUAACACUUCGGGUGACGAGCGGCGGACGGCAGAGUAACGCGUAGGAACGUACCCCAAACUGAGGGAUAACGCACCGAAAGGUGUGCUAAUACCGCAUGUGAUCUUCGGAUUAAAGCUUCGGCGGUUUGGGAACGGCCUGCGUAUGAUUAGCUUGUUGGUGAGGUAAUGGCUCACCAAGGCGACGAUCAUUAGCUGGUCUGAGAGGAUGAUCAGCCUGACUGGAACUGAGACACGGUCCAGACUCCUACGGGAGGCAGCAGUAGGGAAUAUUGGACAAUGGGCGCAAGCCUGAUCCAGCCAUGCCGCGUGAGUGAUGAAGGCCCUAGGGUUGUAAAGCUCUUUCGGCGGGGACGAUAAUGACGGUACCCGCAGAAGAAGCCCCGGCUAACUUCGUGCCAGCAGCCGCCGUAA
rnacentral:rRNA from 1 species